UUUACCUGUACAUAGUCACCCUGUGACAUAAACUUUGUUUAGCUUUGAUGGCUUUACGGUCAACACAUCUGUUCCUUAUGAGGAAUAUUAUACACCAUCAUAACGUGUACAGAAAUGAACAACUGCUAGCCAACAUAAAAAAGGCUUUUGGAAAUGAUGUCACAAUGAACGGGCACAGCCAGGCAGUGUUGGUAAAUACCAUAUCCCCGGAGAAGGUCUCAACAGUUCCAGUUGACAUUGAUCUACCAACUGUUUCAUCAGAGCCAGUGCCCAAGACAGCAUCCUAUUGGAUUCUUAAGGCAGAACCAAAGCCAUCGUCCC